UACGGAGGGUGCAAGCGUUAUCCGGAUUCACCGGGUUUAAAGGGUGCGUAGGUGGAUUGGUAAGUCAGUGGUGAAAUCUCCGGGCUUAACCCGGAAACUGCCAUUGAUACUAUCAGUCUUGAAUACCGUGGAGGUCAGUAGAAUAUGUCAUGUAGCGGUGAAAUGCUUAGAUAUGACAUAGAAUACCAAUUGCGAAGGCAGCUGGCUACACGAAUAUUGACACUCAGGCACGAAAGCGUGGGGAUCAAACAGG
rnacentral:rRNA from 1 species